rnacentral:lncRNA from 1 species
CUGUGGAAACGAAAGUUUAACGCAGGGAAGAAAGAAGAAAGAGUUUCUUUGCCGACCUGUGCGAUGUUUAUGACAUGACGAAUCUCUGCAAAGUUUGGAGGCACGUAUCUUCUCCUCGAGAGAGACGCAAAUUCAUCGUACUCAUGGAAAGCUCGGACGAGAGGCAAAGGUGUGUAGAACCUCCCGACGGAAGGAAUCAAUCUGCUCAGCGUGCUACGCAUGGGAUCUUCGCUGUGUUCUUUGAUCCAUCUCUCCAUUUUCUCCAUCACCUACACCACGCAAAGAAAAAAAAAAAAACAAUCGAUAAGAGAAAAAUCAAUGGUGUGGUCCAUCGAAAGAAAUAUCUUCUCUUCACUCUUCUCGCCAGAGUACCUGGAUGGGAGAAUGCGUGGAAUGGAGCGAGAUGAUAAACUCGAUGAGCCCAUCUUGCUCCUUCAAUCGACCUUUGCGCCGCAAGACGUGAGCAUCAGUGACGCUGCUAGCUCGCGAGACGUGAGCGUCCUCCAGCACCUCCCUACUGAGCAGCAUGCUCCAUCGCAUCUUGUGCUCGGACGAUCUGACCUCUGGAUCCCCGCCAUCGCCUUGUUCUUGCGAUAUUUCGACCCCAUUCCCUGCUGGCGCCGGCUCCUCCGCCCGGAUUUUCUCCAGCCGCUGAUUCAGAUCCACGCCGCCGGCGCUCUCCACGCCCACGGCAUUUGAGAUCGAGCACACCGAGCAGCGCUGCCGCCGCUUCCUCGCCAAGAAGAUCUGGAAACACUGCGAUUUGAGGCCGAUUUGGGGGAUACAUUUGCCGGUGAAUGCUGUGUGGAGUGUAUCGACGCCGCGCCCGCCGCCGGGAGAGGCCUGGAUCACAGCGAGCGCCAUGACCAGCUGGAGCAAAGGGUUUAGGGUUCUUGGCGGCCAUAUAUCACAAAAUAGAGAAUAUUCUCUUACAGCUAUUGGGAAUCUAAGGAUAAGCACUCCAGCUAGUGGGGAAGAUAGAAUUCACACGUUGUAUCCAUUGGCAUGUGCGAAUGCUUCUUUAGUACACUACAUCUUUUGUAAAGUCUUGCCAGUUCCCAAAGUUCUAUCCACAUCCACCAAAUUUUAAUCGAUGAACACUCUACAUUGAAAAAUUUUCAUACCUUUCUGCGAUUUCCUCGUGUUGCUGGAAUGUUGCUAUUUUUUCUUGCGCGUUUUGACCUUACCACCCAUUUUCACCUCCAAACCUUGGCAGCAUCUCGCUGAUGAUUUAAAGAUUAUCAAAGUGAAGGUACUUGAUAAGGAAGAAUAAAUCCAGCUAAUCCACAGCAAGAUACCUUAGAAGAGUCACCUGAAAAGAAAUGUCAAUCCAUGUCCAUGUCUAUGUUGCUUAAUAUUCAUCUCUUUUUGGCGUCGCAAUAUGAUAAUCAGCAUCUGAAAUUCGAUGCCAAGUAAAAACUACGGAUUUUGCGAUAAAACACGAUAUUGGAUAUAUCAAACGCGAUGUUAGAUACAUUAUAGGAUUCUGGUUCCUUGUUCAUCUCUAACAAGGUGCCACUUUAUAGAGCGCGAGAAGCCACAGGCACUGAUCAGUGGUAUUUUCUGACGAUCCCCCUCAGGUACUCCCAGCCUCCACUCUGAUACGCGAAGUCCUGCAGCGAUUCAUCCAGGCAUUCUUCCUCGAGUUGAGAGCAACUCUGGCUUGUUAUGUGCCACACCCUGAAAGGAACGUCACGGGUUCUGUCCACUGCCCGGCGCUCCACAAACAGCUGCUGUAGACCAGCGUGGUCUUUCCUGAGCAGCUCAACAAACUUGGUGUUGCCACACACGAAAACAAUCCUGAAGCAGCUAGCGUCUACGUCGAAGUCAGUGGCUGCUUCUGCAAACAGCUGAGCCGACUCCACACAUUCCGCAUCAUCCUGCUGGCCAUGGAGCUUGAGCCAUUCCGGAAUAACCUGCGAGCACAAAGAAGAAGAAUCAAUACUAUCGAUCAAGUAGAAACCUUCUUCAUUGAAAAUCACCUUCUUGCCUCGGGUUGGCAGCAUCGCCUUGAGUCGCCCAAACAAUGUAAUCACCCUCCAGCCCGGUACCUGGUCGUAGUUGUGGUGCACGAACAAGGCACCGAGGCGGAGACGCUUGGCCACCCAGGCGCCCAGCUCCGUUCCUCGGAGGUGAGCAUCGUUGAGCAUCUGGUAGGCAGCCUUGUCGCACACGAAGAUGUCGCUCGUCUUCCCAUCCUCGUCCAGAGGAGGGGCCCUGUUACGAACUGGAAAGAAGCCAUACUUCAUAGCCUCCACCUCGUCAAGUCCGCUGGGGUGGAGCUUGCCUGGAAUGGGAACCCAGCCAGUGGCCUCCUCCUUCUCCUCCGUGCAUGGACGCCUUGGGGAGGCGUCGCCCCUGCUGCUGCGCCUGCGCUUGGGGCUCCUGGAACGCGGCAUCUCGCCCGAGCGUGGCCUGCGGGAGCUAGAGGCAUCCAUUCUAUCGCCGUGCCUGCGCUUGCCCGAGCGUCGCCUGCGCAAGCUAGAGUCAUCCAUUCCAUGGUCGUCCCUGCUGCUAAGCCAGCGCUUUGGGAGCCCAGGUGGCCUGCGAUCCCGAGGCCCGCGCUCUGGCCUGGCAAUUGCGUGAACGUUGCCUUCGCGCCUCGUCGUCCUACCCAUGCCCUAAUCUCCGAGGUUAGGGCUGUUUGAUGAUUAGGAGUUAGAACUUGACGGUGAUUCUGAUGCCUUAAUUUCUACAUCGUUUGGCAGCGAGUGCAUUCUUGGAUUCGCUACUGCACUUUGUUUGAAUUUCACAGCAGCGUUUUCCUUGGAACAAAUGAAAUCAAAGGUUAUCUAGCAGCCUUUUGGAUUGAAGCCUUGUGGAUGCACAAUCCACAAUGCAGUUUCAAGUGGCAACAAACAGCAUCUAAGAACUCGAGAGUUGUGCAUGAGAGUUGUGCAAUCAAGGUGAAGAUUGCCAUCCAAAGAACCCUAAACAGCAGCAAAGUCCCAGUAAUCUUGCAGAAUACCUAGUAUGUCUCCAUAGAAGAAAGGAAAUUGACUGGUAGCUGCUGGACUAGCAAACAAUUUUCAACUUCUCCAUUGGCAGAGGUUUGUUGCAUUAAUAUUUUCUAUCUAGAGACAUCACUGUUUUUGGUUUUGGAUGGUGAAGGUUAUGACAAGGGAAGAAUUAGACAUCUGGAAAAAUACUCCCUAAGUUUCUUGUAAGAGAACUUUACUUCUCUUUUGUUCUACUUCCUGUCUAUAUUCUGAAACGGUUUGACAGGUGCAAAAUGGUUGCUUGUGGCUAUUCACAACAAAAAUAUGGAAAGUAUGAGUGUAUUUUCUCACAUCAGCAGCCACACACACGAGGCAAUUGCUGGUAAAGCUCUUUCCAUUCUUCUAUAAGCGUUUUGUGUUUAGUUUUUUAUUGAAAUAGUGAAGUUAUGAAUUGAAACAAAUAGCAAGAAAGNNNNNNNNNNNNNNNNNNNNNNNNNNNNNNNNNNNNNNNNNNNNNNNNNNNNNNNNNNNNNNNNNNNNNNNNNNNNNNNNNNNNNNNNNNNNNNNNNNNNGAGUGUCUCGUAAGGCUUCUUUCCAAGGUACUUCAUCAAAGCUCCAAGCCCGAUCGACUUGUUUCCUAGAUGAUCAAAGACAUCGAAGUUAAAACGGAAAUCAAAGAAUGUGAAAACUUACCAACAUCCACAAAGACAUCUGCAUUCGGCAAAAAACAAGACACGAGGAAACGUUUAGAGCACAGGAAAAAAACUGUCGAGAAACUGUACAUACCACUGCCUCCGUUAAAAGCACAAAACGGUAGCUUGGACUCCACCAGAUGGACUUGAACAGUCAAAGCCAUCUCCUCCAGAACCUGAUAAAAUAGGAAUGAAUCAGUAACCAACAACACAAACCUUUGGCUACCUCGUAAAUCGUCGAGACUUUGGGGAUGACUCCGACGGCCCUUGGCUUCCGCACAAAAUGAACUGGCAAAUUCAAGCGUGCGGAGGCCGACUGGAGAGCGCCCUGGGCUUCAUCAAGGAGUUCUUCGAUUCCCUCUUCCGACCACUCUAGCAUAUCUUUCGACUUCCACAUGUCGUCUGGGACAAACUCGAGCCGGUACUUGUUGUUCACCCGGAGGAGAUAGUUGCAUUCUCCUCCCAUGACUUGAAAGUACCUGGUGACUCUGGAAGCAAGCUCAAGCUCUUCGAAGGCUGAAAGCAGUCCAGAAAAUCGGUCCUCGAAUUUUGUAGGAUCUCCCGGAUAGCCUGCACGCACAACGUAGUAAAUACAAGUUCUUUUUAUCGAAAGAACUUCACCAUACCAGCUGCUGUGAGAAUCGCAACGUGAAUACCACGUUGCAUUAGCUUGAUAAUGUGCGCGAUCAUCUUGUUAUCGCGCUCGAUGUGGUGACCAUCGGAGUAAAUGGUACCAUCGGCAUCAAAAGUUACCAGUGCCAGUUUUUCAGCAAUAGCAUGAACCUGUGGAAACGAAAGUUUAACGCAGGGAAGAAAGAAGAAAGAGUUUCUUUGCCGACCUGUGCGAUGUUUAUGACAUGACGAAUCUCUGCAAAGUUUGGAGGCACGUAUCUUCUCCUCGAGAGAGACGCAAAUUCAUCGUACUCAUGGAAAGCUCGGACGAGAGGCAAAGGUGUGUAGAACCUCCCGACGGAAGGAAUCAAUCUGCUCAGCGUGCUACGCAUGGGAUCUUCGCUGUGUUCUUUGAUCCAUCUCUCCAUUUUCUCCAUCACCUACACCACGCAAAGAAAAAAAAAAAAACAAUCGAUAAGAGAAAAAUCAAUGGUGUGGUCCAUCGAAAGAAAUAUCUUCUCUUCACUCUUCUCGCCAGAGUAC